UAUCAGAUGUGAUACAACUAAUUCCUGAAGUC
rnacentral:piRNA from 1 species